rnacentral:lncRNA from 1 species
AAAAAGCGGAAAUAUAUAGCAAGAACAAGAUAAAGCGAAAAACGUAUUCAUUCUAUUAACAUCCCAAAACGUAGUUGUCAUGUGGACAAAACACUAAUACAUAAAGUGUGAAAUUAAAAAGUAAGUACAAGUCUCAAGUCUUUGUUUCUCAAAUAAAACAAAUCAUAAAAAGAAGAACUAGAGGGGCUGCCGGAAUGAUAAACAUAUACCUCUCAACAUUUCUUUGACAAGCCUUACAGAUGGAAGAGAAAAAGCAAUCACACGGUAUCGAGCUCAGAACCUACACAAGUGUAGAAGCAAAGAGUGAGUACCAACAACAUGGUACCCAACAAACAAUCUAAUAAAAAAAUCAACUAGCUAGAAAUCGAUUACUCCUUUCAUCUUAACCAAAUCUCCUCAAACUACAACCUGCACAUAAGUCAGCCCAACCUAACAAGUUUACAAUACACAACUCCCAAGGCUCAAAAUCACAAUCUAACAGUCACAAUUCAACAACCAACACGUAUCAAGUAAGUCAAUCUCAAUGUCAAGUAGAUCAAUCACACGUAACAAGUACAUCAAUCACAGUUAACAAGUAAGUCAAACAUAAGCAUCAAAAUGCAUCAAAUCACAAUAAUCAAUCUCUUGCCGGAAUCAUUUCCCUUCGGCACAAUAUCACUAGCCGUAAUCAUUUUCCAUUGGGUUUAUAUUAAAUCACUAGUCGGAAUCAUUUCCCAUCAACUUUAUAUCAUUUCACUAGCCGGAACCAUUUUCCAUCGACUUUAUAUUAUUUCACUAACCGGAACCAUUUAUCAUCGGCUUUAUAUCAUUUCACUAGCCAGAACCAUUUCUCGUCUGUUUUAUAUCAUUUCACUAGCCGAAAUCAUUUUCCAUUGACUUUGUAUUAUUUCACUAGUCGGUACCAUUUCCCAUCAGCUUUAUAUCAUUUCACUAGUCAGAACCAUUUUCCAUCGGCUUUAUAUCACAUGUCUCAUCACCAUGGUGUACAACAACCAAUGCACAUAAGCAAGUUCACACCAUAAGGAAGAGAAAACAAUUCAAGUAACUCAAGUCCACAUUCAUGCUAUUAAACAUUUCAUCAAUCAAUUAAUAAGGGUCACACAAGGCAAUUCACAAGCGUUAUGAUCAACACAUAGCCUUUUCAUUUCAACCAUUUUUUAUUCGUUAAGAUUUAUCAAGUGGAACAAUUAACCUUUCACCUCAUUCCCAUUACUCCCAACACACAAUGAAGGGAAUACACAUAUUCUACUAGAAUACAAGGUUUAAGAGAUCACUUGCCUUAAUUCAACCAACUAGUCACUCCAAUACUUGAGUCUUCCCCUUCCGAUCAAUGUCCAAAGUCACACAAUCUAUAUCAAUCAAGUAUUCACAAUAAAUUUUUGGAAACAAAAAUACCCACAUCAAUUACUUGGAAAAAUGAGUCAAUCAACUCAAAAUCCGAUUCUGAAAAUAAAGUUUGAAUUUGAAAUUCUUUACUUGAAAUCGUUACCCAAGGCAUUUGGAACCCAUUGGUUAAAACCAUUUCGAAAAAAGACUUAAAAUCAGUUCACAAUAUUCAUUUUAGUUUAGAACUUGAGUUCUUGAAAAACCUUGUCAUUUGCCAAUCAAAAUAUCAAAUUUUGAUGUUAAAAUCCAUAAAUAAUCAAAGGAAAUGAAGUUAUAGGAUCAAAAAAGCUUACCCAAUGAUUUAGCACAAGAAAUCAAUUCAAAAACCGUCUCUGAGGAUUUGCCAAGCUCAAAAAUGAAAAAUGAGGCUAAAACCCCCAAAAUUUGCAGGUCAAAACCCAUCUCUGAUGUCGCUUAAGUGAACUCAGUUCACUUGAGUGAACCUCGCAAAAACUGGGUCUUGCUUUUGUGAACUAAGCUCCACUUAAGCAAUCAUCACUAAAGUGAGCCCUGGUCCGCUUAAGUGAACCCCAUGAAAGACCAGCCUUCAUUUUAGCGAUCCAGCUUUCGCUUAAGCGAAGAUCGCUAAAGCGUAAAGGUGCAUCGCAACAACGGAGGUCACAAAACUCAGGCAUCAAAAAAUUCAGCUAACUUUCAAAUCAUCGAAAGGAGUCACGAGAUUCAUUCGAAACCCCGUACACACAAAUCAUAUAUGAAAACCGAUCGUACACGAUGUUAAGGACUCAAUGGAACCAUUGAAAUACGAAUAUGAGGUCUCCUUGACCUAAUAUCCGUGAAAACCACUAGAAACUAACACCACACCUAAAAGACUAACUCAAGCUUGAGACCUCUCAAAAAUCAAUCAAGACCUCAUCCAGGCCUAAAAUUAUCCCCUCAAUGUAAAGGAACUCUCAGAACUUCAAUAUGAGCAUUCGAACCCCAAAUGUUGACCAAAGUCAACCUAAAGGCUAAAUUUUCACAAAAUUCCAACGUAGGACCUCAAAUCCUUAAAAGGACUUCGAAUCUGAAACCAACAACUCUCACUAACUAGAUUCCACAUUCCAAGAUUGAUAGAAUCAAAAGAAUUUCAUUCCGACACUCGAAACACUAAAAGACACCAAAAAUCACUUUCUUAACAAUAUUAACCUUUCAAAUUCAAAAAUUAUAAAAAUAACUACUUUAAACUCAAAGUUCUAAACCAACUUUCAAAACUCAAUUAGAAACAACUCGAGGUCAAUUUCAGGAGGAAAAAUGGUAAAUUCAUGAAACUUUUUAAAAAUGACCAACCGGGUCAUUACAAAGAUUAAUGGAGAAAUACAAGGAUGGAAAGAAGGGCUUACACAUAAUAUUCAUUGACCUUGAAAAAAUCUACGUUGAAGUCUCGAGAAAAGUCCUCUAGAGAUGCCUAGAGGCUAGAGGUAUAUCAGUUACACAUAUUAGGAUGAUGAAGGACAUGUAUGAUGGAGCCAAGACUCAGGUUAGAAUAAUGAGAUGUGACUUAGAGCAAUUUUCAGUUGAUAUGGGGUUACACCAGGGAUCAUCACUUGGCUUGUUCUUACUUUCCUUGGUGAGGGAUGAAUUGACGCGACAUAUUCAAAAUGAGGUGUCAUGGUGUAUUUAUAUGAAGAUGACAUAAUACUAAUUGAUGAGACUUGCAGCGAAGUUAUUAGGUUGGAGGUGUGGAGACAAACGCUGAAGUCUAAAGGGUUCAGGUUUAACAAUACCAAAAUAAAAUAUUUGGAGUGCAAAUUCAGUGAUUUAACGUGUUAGACGGACAUGGAAGUGAGGCUUGAAAUAUAGGCUAUCCUCAAAGAGAGAUAAUUUCAAGUAUCUUGGGUUCUUAAUCUAAAAAAGUGGGAGCAUCGAUGAUGAUGUCACACAUCAUAUUGAUGCGACAUGAAUGAAGUGGAGGCUUGCUUCUAGAGUCUUAUGUGAUAAAAAGUACUAUAAAAAAUCAAAGGUAAGUUCUAUAGAGUGAUAGUUAGACUGGCUUUGUUAUACAAGGCGGGG